GAUGAACGCUAGCGGCAGGCCUAACACAUGCAAGUCGAGGGGCAUCAUGGCGUAGCAAUACGCUGAUGGCGACCGGCGCACGGGUGCGUAACGCGUAUGGAACCUACCCACCGCAGGGGGAUAACCCGCCGAAAGGCGGACUAAUACCCCAUGGUUCCCCGACCCUGCCUGGGGUUGGGGGUAAAGCCUACGGGCGGCGGUGGAUGGCCCUGCGUGCCAUUAGCUGGCUGGUGGGGUAACGGCCCACCAGGGCGACGAUGGCUAGGGGGUCUGAGAGGAAGGUCCCCCACACUGGUACUGAGACACGGACCAGACUCCUACGGGAGGCAGCAGUGAGGAAUAUUGGUCAAUGGGCGAGAGCCUGAACCAGCCAAGUCGCGUGAAGGAUGAAGGUUUUAUGAAUUGUAAACUUCUUUUGCAGGGGAAUAAAGUGUCCGACGUGUCGGAUUUUGUAUGUACUCUGCGAAUAAGGAUCGGCUAACUCCGUG
rnacentral:rRNA from 1 species